UACAGAGGGUGCGAGCGUUGUUCGGAAUUAUUGGGCGUAAAGGGCGCGUAGGCGGUGCGGUAAGUCACCUGUGAAAUCUCCUGGCUCAACUGGGAGCUUGCAGGCGAAACUGCCGUGCUGGAGUGUGGGAGAGGUGCGUGGAAUUCCUGGUGUAGCGGUGAAAUGCGUAGAUAUCAGGAGGAACACCUGUGGCGAAAGCGGCGCACUGGACCACAACUGACGCUGGGAGGCGA
rnacentral:rRNA from 1 species